rfam:Rheinheimera sp. A13L DRAFT__contig00006, whole genome shotgun sequence.
CGUUGUUGCUGGAUUAGUGGCCGGCACAACAUAUCUCUCUAUUGGAGGCUCUAUGUCACUAACUACAGCUGAAAAAGCGCAAAUCUUAGCAGAUUUCGCUGUUAAACAA